rnacentral:rRNA from 1 species
AAGGUGCUUGCAUCUUGAUUUAAUUUUGAACGAGUGGCGGACGGGUGAGUAACACGUGGGUAACCUGCCCUUAAGUGGGGGAUAACAUUUGGAAACAGAUGCUAAUACCGCAUAAAUCCAAGAACCGCAUGGUUCUUGGCUGAAAGAUGGCGUAAGCUAUCGCUUUUGGAUGGACCCGCGGCGUAUUAGCUAGUUGGUGAGGUAACGGCUCACCAAGGCAAUGAUACGUAGCCGAACUGAGAGGUUGAUCGGCCACAUUGGGACUGAGACACGGCCCAAACUCCUACGGGAGGCAGCAGUAGGGAAUCUUCCACAAUGGACGCAAGUCUGAUGGAGCAACGCCGCGUGAGUGAAGAAGGCUUUCGGGUCGUAAAACUCUGUUGUUGGAGAAGAAUGGUCGGCAGAGUAACUGUUGUCGGCGUGACGGUAUCCAACCAGAAAGCCACGGCUAACUACGUGCCAGCAGCCGCGGUAAUACGUAGGUGGCAAGCGUUAUCCGGAUUUAUUGGGCGUAAAGCGAGCGCAGGCGGUUUUUUAAGUCUGAUGUGAAAGCCCUCGGCUUAACCGAGGAAGUGCAUCGGAAACUGGGAAACUUGAGUGCAGAAGAGGACAGUGGAACUCCAUGUGUAGCGGUGA